rfam:Faecalibacterium prausnitzii L2/6 draft genome.
CCGGAUACCUUGACGGGCCGCACCGAACGAAAGCGACCCGAUCCCAUUCCCCC